CUGAGUUAAAAAUUGAAACAUCAAGCCAUGGGAAUGAAGAAAGGGAAGCCUGUGUUACCUAUCACUACUGUGCCAAAGUCCUUCCUUUUGUCCAGACAUUCCACUUUACAAAAGAGGGCGACGGGAACGAUGAGGUGUGGCUCGAGCUGAGGGAAAGUUUAUCUAUUCUCUCUGGGUAGAGGCAUGGGGAGAACUCCCAUUAUCCAAUUUGACAAACUCCUGACCUGCUUUAGCAGUUGAAAAUCAUCGUUCAUGGAUGCUUGGAUGACACAGGUUUCCUGCAAGAACUGGAUGGCCCGAACGAUUCUGGAUGCAGAGUCUAGACAGGACUGUUGUGAGCGCCACUGAGGAAGCACUUGAAAAACUCAGGCAAGUCAGACUCUAGACACUGAGAAGCAGGUCUUCAAAAGUCAAGUCUGGUUGUGGAGCUUUGCAUCAAGGGCUUGCUCCUCUCUGUAUUCUGGGAGAGUGGGACCAGCUGACCUCAGGUGACAUUUUUCAGCUCUAACCUCUGUCUUCGAUGUCUUUAUUUACAAAGAAUGAUUCCAUUAUCCCACUCUGCUGAAGGAACCAAUUCUGACUUGAUGCUGAGCAGCCCCGGCCAUGUUCCUAUGACACCUCAGAGCCUAUGCCCUGGGCUUCACUCUGAGCAGUGACUUGCUUGAGACUGUACGAGGCAGUGAAGCAGGAGGAAGGGAAGGACACCCUACAUGAAGAGUGGGCCAUGAAGUGGGCAUGGACUUUGAGCAACUGUGAUGGGCCAGUGUGGGCUUGUCACAGCAAAGGGCUGGGGACACCUCUGAAGCUUCCUCCCAAUUAUGUUGCAAACCUCAAGUUGCUCUAGAAGGACGAAGUCACGCAUCAUUUCAAACCGCAUCCUAAGUACUUAGCAAAAUUAAAGUGUUCCCAAUAGCAACGUGAAACAGCCAGUGACUUCUAAUGUCUAUUUCUGUGGAAGUACCAAUAUCUCGGGACCUCGUGCUAUAAUUCACUUCCCCAGCCCCAUAACAGCCAAUGGGCUUCAUUCAGCUCUGCUCUGACAACUUGUGCUGAAAAUGUGACUCUGUUCCCACCCAUCCAUACAUGAAGGAAUAAUCUGAGUAUGAAGUAAAUCUUACUUAGCUCUCAUGUGACUUUCCAUAUGAGAAACGAUCGGCCAGUGGCCAGUGAUCGACAAAUUACAACCUGUUGGCUGAUGGGCAGGUUUUUUUUUGUUUAGUUUUGUUUAGUUUUUGUUUGUUUGGUUGGUUUUUGUUUUUUGUUUGUUUGGUUGUUUUUUUCUUUUUGUUGUUGCUGUUGUUUUUGUUUUUGUUUUUUUGAGACAGGGCUUCUCUGUAUUGCUUUGGAGGUUGUCCUGGAAUUCCCUCUGUAGACCAGGCUGGCCUUGAACUCAGAGAGAUCCACCUGCCUCUGCCUCCUGAGUGCUGGGACUAAAGGUGUGUGCCACUAACACCCAGUUCUGAAGGGCAGUUUUUAUGAAUAAAGAUUCAUUGGGACACACAGCACUGGUUCAUUCACCGCUAACUUGAGGCUGCUUUUAAAACACUGAAGAAUUUCGAACAGAUGGCCCCGCAGAGCUGGAAGACUGUCAGGCUUUUGAAGGAGUUUGUGGGAGCCCUGACCGUGUGUAGUGACAGUUGACUCAACUGAGCUGAGUGAUUUUUAGUCUCUGAAUAAAGCAUCCCUCUGGGUAAGUCUUCAAGGGCAUUUCCAGACACAGAUCAUCACCCAGCCACAGAGUAAUCCACUGGUGACUUCUCCAAUGGCUACAAGACCUGUCCAGUCACAGCGGAGUCUACUCUGUUAGAUGGCAGAUGCCCUUUCCCGACUUUGCACAGCCCUCCUGCCCUACAGACCAACUCCAGAGCCUUUUCAAGAAAAAAAAAUAUUUAUUGUAGUGUUUAUGCAUUCCCAUCACUUAAUAUGUAUUACAAACUACCUUUUUAUUAUGGUCUGAUCUCUUUUUAUCUGCGUGUUACCAAGGAACUGUUUUUAAUGUGCUCUUAUCUCAUUUUGCCAUAAACACUGUGAUAGUCUUUAAAAUUAAUAUUAUUGUGAUAAAAAAAUCACAUAGCAUAAAAGUAACCACUUUUCAGUGUGUAAUUCAGGAGUAUCAAAUUGAUUCACCUUGUAAAACCACUCCACAAUUUUUUUCAUUGAAUUUUUUUUUUCAAGACAGUGUUUCUCUAUGUAGCUCUGUAGACCAGGCUGGCCCCAAACUCACAGAAAUCUGCCUGCCUCUGCCUCCCCAGUGCUGGGAUUAAAGGUGUGCACCACCACUGCAAGGCAGACUUUUUCCCCUCUAAGGCUAAUAUACUACUUUCUGUACUGCUAUGACUUGAAUGUCUGUCUAAAUUGUUAUUUUAGAAUUUAGCCCAAGGUGACUGAACUGUGUAGGAGAUUGGUGCUCCUAUGAAGAGACUGAAAGAGAACACUUCCUCCCUUUGCCUUUGCAUUACACAAGGACACAGUGGUGACCCCUUCCACCCCGUCAACACAGCAAUGCAGCCAUUUCUGAAACAGAGAACAGCCCUCAGCAGACACUGACUCUGUCAGGGACUUUAUUAUUUGGACUCCCAGGUUCCAGAACAGAGAAAAAUUAAUUUCUGAAGUGCUUUCUUGUUGCUGUUUGGUUUGAUUUGGUUAGGGUGUGUGAGUGGGUGUGGGUCUUACUAUGCAGCCCAGGCUAGCCUCAAAUCCGUAAUCCUCUCACCUCCACCUCCCGAGAGUGCCGGGCUUUACUGCCAUGUGUCACCACACCCAGCCUAAGUUUCUGUUCUUUGUAAAUACCAAGCAUUGGUCAUUUCUUGACAGCAGCUCAAAGACUUGUAUACAUUGCAUUCUGCUUAUCUGUUCUUCUACUGACAGACACUUGGGUGGCUUCCAUCUCCUGGCUGCUGGGAGCUAUGCUGCACUGAAUUCGAACUUGUAAACAUCUCCUGCAGACACCACUUGAAUUCUUCGGCGUAUAUACCCAGUAGUGGGAUUAGUGGGUUAUAUGGCAAUUGUAUGUUGAAUAUUUUAAGGAGCCGCCAAACUGUUUUCCAGAGCAAUUGCACUGUUUUUCAAUCCCACCGAGCAAGAGUUCCAAUUCCCCACCUUCCUUGCCACACUGGUUAUUUUCUUUUCUUUUCUUUUCUUUAUUUCUUUUCUUUUCUUUUUUCUUUUUUCUUUCUUUUUUUUUGUAAUGGUAGAAUCUGGAGGGGUGUAAGAUGAUGUCUCUUUAUGGUCUGCUGUGCAUUUCUCUUUAAAGAUUAAGGAUGGUAAUUAUCUUUUCAUAUGUGUGUUGACUAUUUGUGUAUUGUCUUUGGAGAAGUGUGUGUUUAAAUCGCUUGAAGGUUUUAAAAUCAGCAUUACUCGAUGUUUUGUAAUUGAAUUGAAUUGAAGUGAGAGCAGGCCAGGCAACCUUGCCUUGCUCUGAUCUUAGGAGAAAGGCUUCCAUCUUCCAUCAUUGGCCAUGAUGUUAGCUGUGUAAAUGGCUUUGAUUGCAUUGAUGUAAUUUCUUUAUGUUCUUAGUUUGUUGAGUAUAAUAAUAGUACGCCCUGUGGGUUUCGGUGUGUAGUUUUGCAUGGUGUGCUGAUUUUGAGGCAUGCACAUGUCACAUAGCAAGAUCUCAAGAUCACCUAGCAGAAAGUGGCCCCAGACUUUCACAUGGGGAGGGUGACCGAUACACACAAACAAGCAAAGGAAACUGAAAGAUACCCAUCUUCUCUUUUCUCUGUAGAAAAGCUCCCUGUCCUAAAUGACUUCCCAGCCUCCCCACACCUGGCUGAGUCUUCCACUGGACUGAGUGCCACCCCCACUUGCCUCCUGAGCUAGAGCCAGCCCUACAACUGGGGGAAUUAGAGAAAAUCAGUAUGCACUGAACUUGUACUACAGUGGUGAAGAUGGGAGCUGAGCAGAGUUACAGUGCAGGGUGACAAGUUCUACGAUGGGGACACAUAGCCCUGUGAUUACAUGGAGGAGGAGUGAGAGGGCUUUGCAGAGGCACAAAACCCAGCUGAAGUAGACAAGUGGGUGGAAGUUCAGCAGCCCCGGGGCAGGAUAAUCCUGCAGACAUGCCCCUGUCCUCUCCAGCUCACAGCAAUUGGCUGUGGCCCUCUUCAUGAUUCACGGAUGCCGCUGCCACCUCUGGGUCUUGGUUGGCCCAGAGUCCCUGUGAUGGGGGACAUCCUUCUGUAUAUAUGUUUCUUUUAUUGGUUGAUGAAUAAAACGCUGUUUGGCCAGUAGAGGCAGGAGAUGAGGAGAACUCUGGGAAAGGUAGGUGGAGAGAGACCACUGAGAGACGCCAUGUAGAGACUGGGAAGACAGGACGCACCUGGCAUUCUCUGUUAAGAUAAGGCCAUGUAGAAAUACAUAGAUUAGUAGUUGUAGGUUAAUCAUUAAGAGAAAGCUAGCCAAUAAGAAGCCCUAGCCAUGGGCCAACAGUUUUAUAAUUAAUAUAAGUCUUUGUGUGUUUAUUUGGGGCUGAAAGAGUGGUGGGACCUGGAGGGACAAGAAACUCCAGCAACACCCCUGCUUUCCCUCUCCCAGCUUAGCCUCUCAUGGAAUCCACUCAGGGUCUUUCCCUAUUAGCUGUCCAAGCCACUCUAAGAGUUACGGGGUAUUUAAGGUUUACAGAGGGAAAAUACCCAAUGCCUCUUCGGUGCCCAAAAUUUCCAGCCAAGGUCUGGCCUCCACAGAAUAAGUGGCCCACAUCCUUCCCCUGCCAUGCCUGAGAGCAGGGUAAGCUGCUAGGCAGCAGAGGCUAUGAUCUCGUCUGGCUUGACCCUUCUGUGAUUCAAAUCACUCAGGAGCUAUUGGGAUGCAGCAGCUAAGGGACAGCCCAGGCUAGGCUCAUUGGGAUACUUAAGGACAUCCCUUCAGCAUCAGAGAGAACCCUGCCUUUCGUAUUAGGCAGCAGGAUCAGGCAGGUGUAGGCUCACAUCUUUGCUUUGCUACUUGUUUUAUGACCCUGGGUAAGUUAAUCAAUCUGCUUGCCCCUCCAUUCACACAUGUAAAUGGAGGAUGCUACCCCCAGAUUGCUGGUAUCCAUGGAGAUAACAUACAUGUCUCCAUGGAGAUCCAAUAAGUUAACCUAGAUCACCCACAACCCUUGGAAAACAUUUCUUUGCUGUUCCCACACACCAUCUCCUUGAUGCCCUGGAUGGAAUUGAGCUCUGAGCAAACAUAACUCUUGGUGAAAUUACAAGCAACUUUAUCUUUGCCUUUCUUCUGCCUGUGGUCUUUCUGUUUGUGUCUAGCCAGUGCAGCCUCCAGUAUGAGACAUGGCCCUUUGCACUCCUGUGAGAGGAACAUGGUAUACAGCACACGUGUUCUCUCUUCAGACUUUUCCCCUUCACCUCAACAGCCUGUCCUCUUCCUCUAGGAGGGCUACAAGAGACACAACGGUGUUUCAGUACUCCCCUAUUCAACACACAUUUUGUCCCAGUGCCCUGGGAGCUGACACCCUUGCCCCAAGAAAUUAAAACCAAAAUAGACCUUCAUACAUGGCCUAGUCUCUGAUAAAUCAAGGCUUCUGAGCUGUGUCCUGCCUGCUCUGGGGGCAUCCUUACUGUUGGCAUGUACUGUACUGUGAGCUGGGGAAGGGCACCCAGGCUAACUCUGUACUCUGUGACUUUAUGGAAGACAUUGACUCCAUGGUGUUUCACUGAUCCUCACCAUAAAAAUGGAUAUUUUUAAAAAUCCAGUCUCAUCUUCCAUGACUGUGUCAGAAUUAAAUGGGUUGAGUGUGACAGGGUGGAAACAAUGAAUUCUCCUUUACCAGUCUCCAGGCUGGCCAGAGGAGGGAGAGGAGCAUGCAGGGGUUUUGCCCUCAGGGUUCUUCCCCCUUGGGUGGGAGGUGAUAUACACAUGACUCAAAACAGAAAUAAUCACAGUCACAAGUAAUUCACCCGUGGGUCCCUGGUAAAGCCUCCGGCUAGCAAUCUUUGAAGAGAGCAGACACUCCGAAUUCAG
ensembl:lncRNA